rnacentral:rRNA from 1 species
UACAGAGGGUGCAAGCGUUAAUCGGAAUUACUGGGCGUAAAGCGCGCGUAGGUGGUUCGUUAAGUUGAGUGUGAAAUCCCCGGGCUCAACCUGGGAACUGCAUCCAAAACUGGCGAGCUAGAGUAUGGUAGAGGGUGGUGGAAUUUCCUGUGUAGCGGUGAAAUGCGUAGAUAUAGGAAGGAACACCAGUGGCGAAGGCGACCACCUGGACUGAUACUGACACUGAGGUGCGAAAGCGUGGGGAGCAAACAGG